UACGAAGGAUCCUAGCGUUGUCCGGAUUUACUGGGUUUAAAGGGUGCGUAGGCGGACUUUUAAGUCAGUGGUGAAAGCUUGCAGCUUAACUGUAAAAAUUGCCAUUGAAACUGAUUGUCUCGAGUGCGGUUGAGGUCACUGGAAUGUAUCAUGUAGCGGUGAAAUGCUUAGAUAUGAUACAGAACACCAAUUGCGAAGGCAGGUGACUAAGCCGUAACUG
rnacentral:rRNA from 1 species